GGACCUGUGGUUCAGUGGUAGAGCGUUCGGUUCACAUCCGAAAGGUCGAUGGUUCGAAUCCAUCCAGGUCCA
rfam:Candidatus Levybacteria bacterium RIFCSPHIGHO2_01_FTLL_40_15b rifcsphigho2_01_scaffold_21067, whole genome shotgun sequence.